GUGCUCGCUUUGGCAGCACAUAUACUAAAAUUGGAAUGAUACAGAGAAGAUUAGCAUAGGCCCUGUGCAAGGAUGAUAUGCAAAUUCAUGAAGCAUUCCACAUAUUU